rnacentral:rRNA from 1 species
CCUACGUGAGGCUGCAGUAGGGAAUCUUCCACAAUGGGCGAAAGCCUGAUGGAGCAACGCCGCGUGGGUGAAGAAGGUCUUCGGAUCGUAAAACCCUGUUGUUAGAGAAGAAAGUGCGUGAGAGUAACUGUUCACGUUUCGACGGUAUCUAACCAGAAAGCCACGGCUAACUACGUGCCAGCAGCCGCGGUAAUACGUAGGUGGCAAGCGUUAUCCGGAUUUAUUGGGCGUAAAGGGAACGCAGGCGGUCUUUUAAGUCUGAUGUGAAAGCCUUCGGCUUAACCGGAGUAGUGCAUUGGAAACUGGGAGACUUGAGUGCAGAAGAGGAGAGUGGAACUCGAUGUGUAGCGGUGAAAUGCGUAGAUAUAUGGAAGAACACCAGUGGCGAAAGCGGCUCUCUGGUCUGUAACUGACGCUGAGGUUCGAAAGCGUGGGUAGCAAACAGGAUUAGAUACCCUAGUAGUC